CCUACGGGGGGCUGCAGUGAGGAAUAUUGGUCAAUGGGCGAUGGCCUGAACCAGCCAAGUAGCGUGAAGGAUGACUGCCCUAUGGGUUGUAAACUUCUUUUAUAAAGGAAUAAAGUCGGGUAUGCAUACCCGUUUGCAUGUACUUUAUGAAUAAGGAUCGGCUAACUCCGUGCCAGCAGCCGCGGUAAUACGGAGGAUCCGAGCGUUAUCCGGAUUUAUUGGGUUUAAAGGGAGCGUAGAUGGAUGUUUAAGUCAGUUGUGAAAGUUUGCGGCUCAACCGUAAAAUUGCAGUUGAUACUGGAUGUCUUGAGUGCAGUUGAGGCAGGCGGAAUUCGUGGUGUAGCGGUGAAAUGCUUAGAUAUCACGAAGAACUCCGAUUGCGAAGGCAGCCUGCUAAGCUGCAACUGACAUUGAGGCUCGAAAGUGUGGGUAUCAAACAGGAUUAGAUACCCGAGUAGUC
rnacentral:rRNA from 1 species